GGCGAUAUAUAAGGAUCUAAUUUCAGAUUUUUUUCCUACAUGGGUUUAGCCAAUUCUGCCAGUACCAUUUGUUGAAGAGGCUGUCUUUCUUCCAUCUGAUGUUUCUGGCUCCCUUAUCAAUGAUUAGAUGUUCAUAGUUCUGUGGGUUCAUUUCUGGCUCUU